AUUCUCAGUUCGGAUUGUAGGCUGAAACUCGCCUACAUGAAGCUGGAGUUACUAGUAAUCGCAGAUCAGAAUGCUGCGGUGAAUGCGUUCCCGGGUCUUGUACACACCGCCCGUCACACCACGGAAGUUGGGGGCGCCCGAAGCCACUUAGCCUAACCCUUUUGGGAAGCGAGUGUCGAAGGUGAAAUCAAUAACUGGGGUGAAGUCGUAACAAGGUAUC
rnacentral:rRNA from 1 species